ACGCCUGCCCAGUGAACAAUUAAACGGCCGCGGUACACUAACCGUGCAAAGGUAGCAUAAUAAUUUGUCUACUAAUUAUAGACCUGCAUGAAAGGCAAAAUGAGGGCUUGACUGUCUCUUAUAGUAAAUCAAUUAAACUGAUCUCCUAGUAAAAAAGCUAGAAUUACCACAUAAGACCAGAAGACCCUGUGAAGCUUAAACUAAACUAUUAAACCAAAUAAUAACUACUUUAGGUUGGGGCGACCUUGGAAAAAGAAUAACUUCCAAACUACACAAAGGCCGACAAGCCAAUAAACGACCCAGCAACGCUGAAAAUUGAACCAAGUUACUCCAGGGAUAACAGCGCAAUCUUCUUCAAGAGCCCAUAUCAAAAAGAAGGUUUACGACCUCGAUGUUGGAUCAGGACAUCCUAAUGGUGCAGAAGCUAUUAAGGGUUCGUUUGUUCAACGAUUAAUNGUCCUACGUGAUCUG
rnacentral:rRNA from 1 species